UUAAGAAUGAGAGCUUCGGCAGGAAUUUUUAUUAUCUUAGUGGCGGACGGGUGAGUAACGUGUGGGCAACCUGCCCUGCACUGGGGAAUAAUCAUUGGAAACGAUGACUAAUACCGCAUACGGUUCUUGGGAGGCAUCUUCCGGGAAAAAAAGGAUUUAUUCGGUGCAGGAUGGGCCCGCAUCUGAUUAGCUAGUUGGUGAGAUAACAGCCCACCAAGGCGACGAUCAGUAGCCGACCUGAGAGGGUGACCGGCCACAUUGGGACUGAGACACGGCCCAAACUCCUACGGGAGGCAGCAGUGGGGAAUAUUGCACAAUGGGCGAAAGCCUGAUGCAGCAACGCCGCGUGAAGGAAGAAGGGUUUCGGCUCGUAAACUUCUAUCAACAGGGACGAAAGAAAUGACGGUACCUGAAUAAGAAGCCCCGGCUAACUACGUGCCAGCAGCCGCGGUAAUACGUAGGGGGCAAGCGUUAUCCGGAAUUACUGGGUGUAAAGGGUGAGUAGGCGGCAUGGUAAGCCAGAUGUGAAAGCCUUGGGCUUAACCCGAGGAUUGCAUUUGGAACUAUCAAGCUAGAGUACAGGAGAGGAAAGCGGAAUUCCUAGUGUAGCGGUGAAAUGCGUAGAUAUUAGGAAGAACACCAGUGGCGAAGGCGGCUUUCUGGACUGAAACUGACGCUGAGGCACGAAAGCGUGGGGAGCGAACAGGAUUAGAUACCCUGGUAGUCCACGCUGUAAACGAUGAGUGCUAGGUGUCGGGGAGGAAUCCCCGGUGCCGCAGCUAACGCAAUAAGCACUCCACCUGGGGAGUACGACCGCAAGGUUGAAACUCAAAGGAAUUGACGGGGG
rnacentral:rRNA from 1 species